CUCGAGGAAUUCCAUAGUUAGCUGACUUUUAUAAAGACCUUCAUUUGGACUUGAAUCGGCAAAAGCUGUAGGUGUUCAGCUUUUGAUACAUUUUGGUUAGACGUGAGCCCACGUGUCGCUGUAAAAGUAAUUUUAUGUUUUAGUUAUUUGCUUUGUAGUAUAUAUGAAUAUAAUUAACUUUUACGCUACAAGAAUUAUUUACCGAUAGCUUUAUAAAAAUUAUUUUACGAAAAAAUAGUUUAUUUUAUUGAAUAUUUUUAUUUUAUUCAAAU
rnacentral:lncRNA from 1 species